rnacentral:rRNA from 1 species
UAACGCGUGGAUAACCUGCCGUAUACCGGGGGAUAACACUUAGAAAUAGGUGCUAAUACCGCAUAAGCGCACGGCUCCGCAUGGGGCAGUGUGAAAAACUCCGGUGGUAUACGAUGGAUCCGCGUCUGAUUAGCUAGUUGGCGGGGUAACGGCCCACCAAGGCAGCGAUCAGUAGCCGGCCUGAGAGGGUGGACGGCCACAUUGGGACUGAGACACGGCCCAAACUCCUACGGGAGGCAGCAGUGGGGAAUAUUGCACAAUGGGGGAAACCCUGAUGCAGCGACGCCGCGUGAGUGAAGAAGUAUCUCGGUACGUAAAGCUCUAUCAGCAGGGAAGAAAAUGACGGUACCUGACUAAGAAGCCCCGGCUAACUACGUGCCAGCAGCCGCGGUAAUACGUAGGGGGCAAGCGUUAUCCGGAUUUACUGGGUGUAAAGGGAGCGUAGACGGCAGCACAAGUCUGGAGUGAAAUCCCGGGGCUUAACCCCGGAACUGCUUUGGAAACUGUGCGGCUGGAGUGCAGGAGGGGUAAGCGGAAUUCCUAGUGUAGCGGUGAAAUGCGUANAUAUUAGGAGGAACACCGGUGGCGAAGGCGGCUUACUGGACUGUAACUGACGUUGAGGCUCGAAAGCGUGGGGAGCAAACAGGAUUAGAUACCCUGGUAGUCCACGCCGUAWACGAUGAUUACUAGGUGU